CGGCGAUGGCUUUUUAUAACUCCGGGUUCUGCGCCUUUGCCCGGGCUCGGAAGGGAAGGAGUGGGGGAGGUGGGAGGCGGGGAAACCAGCGGAAUCUUCUGGCCUUUCAGAGCGUGCCCUCCUCCCGCCACGCACCGGUGAUUUCGGGGGGUUCCCGGGGCCCACAGCCCGCGGGGCGCACGCCCCGCCCCCAGCCCCGGGGCGGGCCCGCACCCCCCCACCCCCGCCACACUCACCCCCAGGGUGGCCGCCUCCCGGGGCCGCGCCGCGCGCAUCUCGCCGGCCGCCCGCGCCCCCGCCCGCGGCAGCGGCGGUCCCGGGGCCGGGCUAGGCCUACCCCGGCCGGGCGGGAGGGCGGGCGGGCGGCGCCGGGGCUGCGGGGUGCGGGCGGGGCGCUCUGCGGGGCGCAGGGACGGCGCGGCCCGGGCGAUCGGCGGCGCCUCCGCCUCCACCUCGGGCUCCGGCUCGGCUCGGCGGCGGCCGCGGCUGCCUGCGCGAGAUCAACAAGUCGGGCUGAGCUUCGGCUCCGCGCUCGCCGCGAUUCUGUCCCGCACUUCGGAGCGCGGCGAGUGGCACCGAGGCGGGACGGCGCCACCUGCGGGUCGGAAACGCGCGCGGCUUAACCCCUCCGUGCCCGGCCCGGUCCUGGCCCAGGCCGCGGGGCCCACCCGGGCUGCUCGUCUGGGUCCCGGCCACCACGAGGCUGAGCGCCUACUGCAUGCAGGCGCUGCACGUAGGGCGGGCGUGGGAGAUACAGUUGCGAAGCCAACUAGCCUCUGGGUUGCGAGGCUCCCUGGAGAGCGACUGUAAACAGAAUUGGAAGACUAUGUCAGACAGGCUAGAAGCUGGGAGGAUGGGAAAGCUAGAGGAGGCAGGUGGCAAUUUUAAAUAGCCCUUGCUUUGAUUCCAUUCCCGGAUUCUACAAAAUCAAAUUCUAGAUUCUAGAGGAAAGUGGACGUUGCACCUACUAACCAACAAACAUGCAAAAGAGGUGGGCAGCUGGGUGGUAGCUGCUGAGGAGAAACAAGGCCAGGUGAAGGGCCAGUGAAGACUCAGAGCUUGCCUGUCCUGGUUAGUCAGUCACCCAUUCUUGCUAACUUGGACAGAUGCUUCUGGACUGCUGAGGGUCUAGAUCAACCCAGAGAUCCACUGCUCCUGCCUCACCCUGUGCAGUGGGGUGGUCAGAGUGACUGCAAACAGGACUGAAUGCAGAAGGGGCCAGGCCUCCCUUUGUCAGCCACACUUGGACCCUGCUGGUUUGUUCUCUCACACACAUAUCUGUGUGUGGGGUUGAGGAGUUAGAGGUACAGCAGAGAACCUGGCCCCGGAGGGAGGAAACUUAGUGGGGCCUGGUACCCGGAGAUAAGGCCUUCUCCUCUCCACUUUGGGUUCCUGUCCACUGUGUCACACAGAACUGUUUGUAAAAACCCAUCCGCUCUGAUCAGUUCCCCUCCUGCCUUCUCUCCCUGUGAACUCUGCUCUCAGCUCCCCCAUCCCGCCUCUGCCUCUGCUUCCUACAGAACCACGGCUGUCAGAAUGAAUGUUCCAUUUCCCAAACUGAAUGUCUGUUGUCUUCAAUGGAGUAAGGCCUUCUUGGGUUUUCCCUUGCUCUGGCCUGAUAGUUCUGAUUCAGUCCCUCCCUCCUCAUCUCAGCUUGCUCACCACUGAAGAAAGACAAACAACUAAACACAUUUUUGUUUGUUUGUUUGUUUGCUUGUUUUUUAAUGAGAAAGCUUUGGCCAAUCAUAAGUGCUACCAGGGAAUCAUGGGGCCAGGGGUAGCUAUGCUGAGACUUUUACCCAGAAGGUCAGCAGGGCCUCUCAGACUCCACAGGUAGGAAGGGAGUCAGAUAGAUAUGGAGGGAUAAGAGGAAUUCCAUGCAGACUUGUAUCCAGGCUGAAGGCCAAGGGCAAACAAGGGACGGCCACGUGCCUCCCUGGCCACCAUAGAAACAGCAUAGAAAAUGCAAGAUGAAGCACUCGGGAGGCAGAGGCAGGAGGAUCUCUGUGACUUUGAGGCCAGCCUGGUCCACAGAACCAGUUCUAGGGCAACCAGGGCUGCAUGGAGAAACCCUGUCUCAAAAAGCAACAACAAAAAGAAUAUGGAGCCUCACUUGAAGAAUCGUCUUAAUUGCUUUAAUUGAUGUAGGAGGACCGACCGGAAUGUGGGUAGCAUCUACUAAUGGGGAACCAGAUUAAAUGGCUUCCAUCCUGGGCCAAGGGCCUUCAAGUCUCCAGGAACCUUUGGAUUUUUGGUGCUGGCUUGGUGACGACUGAGACAACUCAAGGACCAGGCAGCUACCAGAUUCCCAGCCUCACAGUGAAAUUUCAGAAACAUUAUUUGAGGGGCCCAUGAGAUGGCUCAGCAAUGCUUGUCCCCAAACCUGACAGCCAUUCUCCUGCCUCAGCCUCCUGACUAGCUGGAUGACAGGCCUCAACCACCAGGCCUGGUUAUAGGUGGUUUCCUGGAAAGCAUCCUUGGGUCAAGCCACUUUCCCACCCUGGUCUGAAGGGGCUGCCUUUGCCGUCUGCUGCACCCACAAGGUCGCUGCCUGCCCUUCCGGUCUGAGCAGCAUGGGGUUCUACUCGCUGAGUUCACGAGGCCUGCUCUCUCUGCUCUUCUGCCUUAAAGUGAGCUUGUCCACUCUCCUCUUUCAGUCCUGAAGAGAGCGUCAUGCAACCCCGAGCAAACCAUCAUCUCUUCUUCCCAAGCUCUGGGUGAGAGCGCCCAUCUGCCCAGGGAAACCUUGAAAACUGCAAUCUCUGGGAAGAAUCCUGGCUUGAAAGCACACACACACAUUCACACACACUCACACACACAGACAUACACACUCACAGACACACUCACACACUCACACACAUUCACACACAUUCACACACUCACACACACUCACACACACUCACACACAGACACACUCACACACUCACACACAGACAUACUCACACACACUCACACACACUCACACACACUCACACACACAGACACACACACUCACUCACACACACAGACAUACACACUCACAGACACACUCACUCAUACACACACUCACACUCACAUUUGCACACACACAGACACACACUC
ensembl:lncRNA